GUAAGUUUUUGUGUGGACAUGUUUUCAGUUCUCUUGGGUGUAUACAUGGAAGUAGAAUUGUUGGGUCAGAUGGUAACUCUGUUUCAUGUUUUGAGAACCUGCCUGACUGUUUUCUAGAGUGGCUGCACCAUUUUACAUUUUGACCAGCAAGGUAAGAGUGUUCCAGUUUCUCCACAUCCUCAAUACCACUUGUUUUUCUUUUUCUUUUUCUUUUCUUUUCAUUAUAGCUAUGUAGUAGGUUGAAUUGCUAUCUCAUUGUGGCUUUUUUUUUUCUUUUUUAAGGGUCUAUGCUUUAAUUUUUUUAUUGUGGCAAAAUAUGCAUAACAUAAAAUUUACUAUUGUAACCAUCUUAAGUGUCCAGUUCAGGGCUAUAAAGUAUAUUCAAUUAUUGUGCAUCAUUGUGGCUUUGAUUUGCAUUUCCCCAAUGACUAAUGAUGUUGAACAUCUUUCCCUGGCUUCUUGGCCAUUUGUGUAUCUUCCCUGGAGAGAUGUCUACACAAGUACUUUACUCAUUUUUAAAUCGUGCUGUUUUAUUGUUGAAUUGUAAACUACACUUUAUAUAUUCUGGAUCAUGGCUCUUUAGCAGACAUGUAGUUGGCAAUAUUGUCUCCCAUUUGGUGGGUUGUCUUUUCACUUUUUUAGUAGUUUUCUCCAAUGCAGAGAAGUUUUAAAUUUUGAUGAAGUUCAGUUUAUCUAUUUUUUUCUUUCAUGGAUUAUGUUUCUGAUAUCAUAUCUAGGAAUGCAUGGCCAAAUCUGAGAUCAUGAAGAUUCACUCCAUGAGUUCUUCUAAGAGUUUGAUAGUUUGGCUCUUACAUUUAGGUCUUCGUUCCAUCUUAAUUUUUUAUCUAGUGUGAGGUAAGGGUAAGUCCUUUCUUAAAAUUCCAUGUCAUAUGUUUAAAAUCAUGAAAAUCAAUUUGGCAAUACCUAUAACAAAUGCACAUCCCUCUCAAUUUCCACUUCUAGGAAUUUACCCUAUAGAAACAUCCUAAGGAUGUAUGUAUAAAGUUAUUCACUGCACCUUGUUAAAAAAUGCAAAGCAUUAUGGAUAACCCAAAUGGCUACCAAAUGGAAUAUUAUGAGGCCAUGGAAAAGAAUACAGGGCUUUGUGUGCCGAUUUGCAAGGCUCCCCCCCAAAUACAAUUCAAUGAAAAACCGAAUUUUUUGUGUAUAAAAACUGUAAUAUGUAUCUACAUAGAAUUGUAGAUAUGCUAUAUGCUAUAUAUGCUUAUUAUAUACAUAGAAAAACUGCAAGUUUUCAUAAAAAUCAAGUAUAGUAGAUUCCUGUAGCACAAGUGGACACUGGGUGCAUAGGCAAGUGAAGAGACUUAUUCCUGUCUACAUUUGAUCACAGUUGUUAAAAAAUGGAAAUGUAGUGCCAAAUGAUUGGAUAAAUACAUGUUAAAUUUUUUAAAAAGUACCUUCUGAAGAAAAAGAGGAUGUGGCAAGAAAGUCACAUUGUCAUGAGGAUUGCACAAAGUUUCCUCCAGUUGAAACACAAGUAUUUUCUUGCCUGUUUUUUUCGUGACUGCCAACAUCCUAAAUACAGUCAGACCAUUGCUGAUUGAGGUUGGAGUUGUGGUCUUCGGCCAUGAAACACAGCAGCAAACUGGUCCCUAGGAUGCGGAACUAACAGCCCUGACCUCAUUCACACAGUAAUGAGCCAGCAUCACCCAGAAGGUUUACCCUUCAAGGAUUCUACAGGAAAAAGUUGUUCUAGAACUUCUCUCACGGAAAGAACACAAACACUUGUGAAGACGCCGUUUCACCAUUUUACCAGCAAGGACCCUGACACUGGAUUCCUUACAUUCCUAGCCCAGGGCAGUGGUGGGUAGGUGCCCUUGAAAGCCGAGACCCUCCCUACCACAUGCACAUCUGUCCGUUACCCUGGAGCAACCAGACAGAGAUGAAAACCUCACCGUGGAUAUUCUACCCCAGUUGACUCUCACGGCAGUUUUGGAGAGCUUGCUCUUGUCUUUCAACAUUUCUAAAGUUGUCUCUUGGUGAUUUUUUUCUCAACCCUUUGAAAAACAGUUGUGGUUGUAUUCUGUUUUCGCCGAAAUAGUGCUCUCCUCUUCCACGUGAUAUUCUCCAUUGAAACAUGUAUUUCCCCUUUUCGAUGCCUAUGGUUAGCUCUGCGGCAGGAGCAAAACUGGUCUCAGACAUGCAAACUGGAGACAGGAAACCCCAAAAUACACAAUGGUGCCUGUGUGCCUUUUAACCCUUUCAGUGUGUAGUAGACCAGAUGACCUGUGCUCACCUGUGAUUCUGAGCGAUACUGCAAAUGGGACUGGCAUUCCGGGAACAAAAGUCUUCCAUGGAAAAGAUGGAGGCACACUGUGAAAAAGGGGAAUACUACAGCCUGGACCGUUUGUUGCCUCCUGUCUGCCUGUGUUUCUUUGUGACUUUACCACCACUGCCGACGUCUGUUCUGGAAGGCUUUCUGAGGACUUGAGCGCAGAAGACAGCUGCUCAGAUGGCUGAGGGACUGCUCCACAAAAGGUAAGGAAGGAAC